rnacentral:lncRNA from 1 species
CUUAAAUGUUCUUGCAGAGUUUGUUUAUGCAUAUAUUGGAAAAUAUGAAUAUGUAGUCUUAUUCCUUUACUUUUUACAAAAAGCAGCACACAAUAUACACUAUUUUAUACAUUGUUUUUUAUUUUGCAUUUAUCAAUACUUCUUGAUGCUCAAUAUUAGUUAGCUUCCUCAUGCUUUUUUUUUUUUUUAUGGUGAAAAGAUAUACAUAUAUUUAGAAUUAGCCAGCUGGACUGUUUAGAUGAUCCCAAUUUUGUUUGCAACAUCCAAAGCAUCGUAAUCAGGAGCCAGUCGAACAUAUGCUUUCUUCUCUCCAUCAGGCCGAAUCAGGGUGUUGACCUUGGCCACAUCAAUGUCAUAGAGCUUCUUCACAGCCUGUUUGAUCUGGUGCUUGUUGGCUUUAACAUCCACAAUGAACACAAGUGUGUUGUUGUCUUCUAUCUUCUUCAUGGCAGACUCAGUGGUCAGUGGAAACUUGAUGAUCGCAUAGUGGUCAAGUUUGUUUCUCCUGGGGGCGCUCUUCCGAGGAUAUUUGGGCUGCCUCCGGAGUCGCAGUGUCUUGGGCCGCCGGAAGGACUAAGAAUAAGAGAUUUGAAACUGCUAUAAACUUCAGCGUUGUUGGAGGAUUCCCAAGAAAUUCUGCCUUCAGGGCGGAGUGAAUAAAAGUCCUUUGUUCACACUUUGAAAUGUUGAACACCUACUGCAUAGCGUUUGUUUGAUGCUGUCUAUGUAAGACACCAGGAUAAAAAGAAGACAGAAUUCUGUCCCAGAGAAGCUCAUGGACUGACCAGCAGCAGCAAUGAUAACACAGCUACCAUUUAUGGAGUGAUUGCAACACAGCUUACUUCCCUUAUUUUCUUUAAUUUCUGUAAAACUCUUCUAGUUAAAUGCUUAUUCCCAUGCUCAUUUUGAAGAUGAGGAAAAUUGGCCCUAAGUAAAUGAAGGACCUUGGAAGUAUUGGAAUAUAGUGUGAGCUUUGCUAUAAUAGAAAUAUAUGCAAAUAAAAUAUAAUGGGAUUAAAGCUAA